rnacentral:rRNA from 1 species
AUUGAACGCUGGCGGCAUGCCUUACACAUGCAAGUCGAACGGUAACAGGUUAAGCUGACGAGUGGCGAACGGGUGAAUAAUGUAUCGGAACGUGCCCAGUCGUGGGGGAUAACGCAGCGAAAGCAGUGCUAACACCGCAUACGAUCUAUGGAUGAAAGCGGGGGACCGUAAGGCCUCGCGCGAUUGGAGCGGCCGGUGUCAGAUUAGGUAGUUGGUGGGGUAAAGGCUCACCAAGCCAACGAUCUGUAGCUGGUCUGAGAGGACGACCAGCCACACUGGGACUGAGACACGGCCCAGACUCCUACGGGAGGCAGCAGUGGGGAAUUUUGGACAAUGGGGGCAACCCUGAUCCAGCAAUGCCGCGUGCAGGAAGAAGGCCUUCGGGUUGUAAACUGCUUUUGUACGGAACAAAACGGUCUGGGUUAAUACCCUGGGCUAAUGACGGUACCGUAAGAAUAAGCACCGGCUAACUUCGUGCCAGCAGCCGCCGUAACAC